rnacentral:rRNA from 1 species
AUUGAACGCUGGCGGCAUGCCUUACACAUGCAAGUCGAACGGCAGCACGGGAGCAAUCCUGGUGGCGAGUGGCGAACGGGUGAGUAAAGUAUCGGAACGUGCCCAGUCGUGGGGGAUAACGUAGCGAAAGUUACGCUAAUACCGCAUACGAUCUAUGGAUGAAAGCGGGGGAUCGCAAGACCUCGCGCCAUUGGAGCGGCCGAUAUCAGAUUAGGUAGUUGGUGGGGUAAAGGCUAACCAAGCCGACGAUCUGUAGCUGGUCUGAGAGGACAACCAGCCACACUGGGACUGAGACACGGCCCAGACUCCUACGGGAGGCAGCAGUGGGGAAUUUUGGACAAUGGGCGCAAGCCUGAUCCAGCCAUGCCGCGUGCAGGAUGAAGGCCUUCGGGUUGUAAACUGCUUUUGUACGGAACGAAAAGGUUUGACUUAAUACGUUGGACUCAUGACGGUACCGUAAGAAUAAGCACCGGCUAACUACGUGCCAGCAGCCGCCGUAA